UGAGUUAGUGGCGGACGGGUGAGUAACGCGUGGAUAACCUGCCGUAUACCGGGGGAUAACACUUAGAAAUAGGUGCUAAUACCGCAUAAGCGCACGGCUCCGCAUGGGGCAGUGUGAAAAACUCCGGUGGUAUAAGAUGGACCCGCGUCUGAUUAGCUUGUUGGCGGGGUAACGGCCCACCAAGGCGACGAUCAGUAGCCGGCCUGAGAGGGUGGACGGCCACAUUGGGACUGAGACACGGCCCAAACUCCUACGGGAGGCAGCAG
rnacentral:rRNA from 1 species